rnacentral:rRNA from 1 species
CUACGGGUCGCAGCAGUGGGGAAUUUUGCGCAAUGGGGGAAACCCUGACGCAGCAAUACCGCGUGAGUGAAGGAGGCCUUUGGGUCGUAAAGCUCUUUUCUUGGGGAAGAUAGUGACGGUACCCAAGGAAUAAGCACCGGCUAACUCCGUGCCAGCAGCCGCGGUAAUACGGAGGGUGCAAGCGUUGUUCGGAUUUACUGGGCGUAAAGGGCACGUAGGCGGCACAGCAAGUUAAGGGUGAAAUCCCGGGGCUCAACUCCGGAACUGCUCUUAAAACUGCUGAGCUAGAGAUAGUCAGAGGCGGGUGGAAUUCCAGGUGUAGAGGUGAAAUUCGUAGAUAUCUGGAGGAACACCGGUGGCGAAGGCGGCCCGCUGGGGCUAUUCUGACGCUAAGGUGCGAAAGCGUGGGGAGCAAACGGGAUUAGAUACCCCAGUAGUC